CACGUAGGAGGCGAGCGUUUGUCCGGAAUCAUUGGGCGUAAAGAGCGCGCAGGCGGCUUGGCAAGUCGGGUGUGAAAUCCCGGGGCUCAACCCCGGGACUGCAUUCGAUACUGUCAGGCUAGAGGUAGGUAGGGGAGAUCGGAAUUCCUGGUGUAGCGGUGAAAUGCGCAGAUAUCAGGAGGAACACCGGUGGCGAAGGCGGGUCUCUGGGCCGAUACUGACGCUGAGGAGCGAAAAGCGUGGGGGAGCGAACAGG
rnacentral:rRNA from 1 species